UACAGAGGGUGCAAGCGUUAAUCGGAAUUACUGGGCGUAAAGCGCACGUAGGUGGUUUUCUAAGUCAGCUGUGAAAUCCCCGGGCUCAACCUGGGACUUGCAGUUGAAACUGGAAAGCUAGAGUAGGGUAGAGGGGUGUGGAAUUCCGGGUGUAGCGGUGGAAUGCGUAGAGAUCCGGAAGAACACCGGUGGCGAAGGCGGUCUGACUGGGGUCGAACUGGACGCUGAGGCGGCG
rnacentral:rRNA from 1 species